GUGAGAGGUGAAUCUAUAGAUUCAGGUUUUUGUUUCCUGUAAUGUAGGUAAUAAUAAGCCAUUGAAUUCUACAUUAGCUGCAUGUGAAGGCCCUCCUGAAGAAUUUUUCCAGCCCCCCAAUUGUUUACCUCCAGUUUUUUCAGCAUAGAUUAUCCUACAUGUAUCAGUGUUAAGCCCCGGAGUGUCAGACAAAUAAUGGUAAAAUAUGAACAUUUGAUAAAUGUGGAUAUAUUGAAGGAUAUAUUGUGGAUUUACAUAAAUUGUUUGAAUGUUAUAUUUUUCUUCGAUUUCUACAAUUCAAUGUUAUCUGCUGUUAUAAAUCAUAUUCUAUUUUUGCCUCCUCUGCAGGCACUCUGUAUUGUUUUGUAUAACAGGUUUUCAACUCUUAUUUGUUUUGUAUUGUAAAUGCAUUUUGUAAAUGAUCAAACUUUGGUCGAGCUUCAAGCAAAAUAGUGUUAGGCCUGGGGAGAGCAAAACAUGGGAGGAAAAAAUCCCAAAUAUAAAACCUAUUAUACAAAACAAUACAGAGUUGCCUGUGGAAGAGGCUAAUUCUACUUAAAUAUUAACCCAGAACUCUCCCCUUGACAAGUAAAAUCAUCUGGCAUUAGACAGAAAAUAAUAAAGUAGGGUGCAAUGUGACUCAAUGGGUUAACUAGACACAUCAUGGGCAGAUAGACGAGUUAACCCACUAAAUGCCAGCACUCUCCCCUUGACGAGUAAAAUUGUAUAGCAUUAGACAGAGUAAAAUAAUCUUGCGUUAGACAGAGUAAAAUAAUAAAGAAUGUUAGGGUUUGUAAUCCAAGUGAUUAUAUACAUUUUAAGACCUGACCAGGAACGACUGCGAAAAAUGCAGCACAAGGUUCUCUGGUAGGAAUUGAACCUACGGCCCUGCGAUUCCGGUGCAGCGCUCUAACCAACUGAGCUACAGAGGCCAGCUGUUGAGCUGUAACCGUAAGUUCAUGUAAAUAUAGGUAAUCAGGUGUGCGGGUUGUGAUAAGGUGAACUUGGAUGAUGUGGUUUCUUUGCACUUCACUUGGUGGAAUUAAUAUUAGAAUGUUAGGGUUUGUAUAAUCCAAGUGAUUAUAUACAUUUUAAGACCUGACCAGAAACGACUGCGAAAAAUGCAGCACAAGGUCCUCUGGUAGGAAUUGAACCUACGGCCCUGCGAUUAAAAUAAUAAAAUAAGGCGCAUCAGUGCACAAUGCGACUCAAUGGGUUAGAGAUGAACAGACGGUUAAGUCUGUUAUGCACAUAUGUACCUUCUGAUGUAAACAAUUGGUAACAUCAAGGUGUUAUACAUAGGGUUAUACAUGGUGGUCAACAUUACAUGUAUCAACACUAAUGACUUCGGGAGCGAGCAAAUGAGGCUAAAUUGCAUGUAUUCACCAGCAAACAUGAGGUCAAGACAUAUAGUGAACAAUUUACUCACACCGGUAACUG